UCUCUUCAGUCAUUAUUCAGUAACCACUCUCAGCAAGGUGAAGUAUCAGGCACUCAAGGGAAGAUAAGAUGAACAUGGUUUGGCUCUUUUUCCUAGACCUGACCAGAGACAGCAUCUUGCUAUUUUGCUCAGGGUGGUCCUGAACUCCUGGACUCAAGCAAUCCUCCUGUGUUGGCCUCCCAAAGUCCUGGGAUUACAGGCAUGAGCCACUGCUCCCAGCCCCAUCUGAUCUCGAUAGUCCUCAAUAAGGAGUAGCCAUUAUUAUCACCUGAAAUAAAGAUGAGGAAACUGACUUCUUUA
rnacentral:lncRNA from 1 species